UCCCUGGUGGUCCAGUGGUUAGGAUUCUGGGCUUUCACUGCUGGGGCCCAAGUUCAACUCCUGGUCAGGGAA
rnacentral:tRNA from 1 species